rnacentral:lncRNA from 1 species
GAAGUUAUGGAGUUUUAUUUUCUCUUUUUUGAGACUAACUGGGAUGCAUACAUUUUUACACAUGAGUAAUACGGAAUGUUACAGUAUAAGUGUAUAUUAAAAAUAAAUUAGAACAUGAUACAAAAGUCUGAGGUCCAUAUUCAUUCAUACGAGACUUAUUCUCAAAUAAACAUGAAAAUAUUUUGUUUCCCUUCUCUUAGAUGACUGACAACUACACAAAAAGACCACAACAUUUGAUGACUAUGGAAGGAAUAAGGAAGAGGAACAAAAGAGAGAAAAAGCUGAAAUAGGCUUUGAAAUAUGUUUGUGUUCUAGGGGAAGCAAAUUACUUCCAAAAUAUGGAAAUGAAGACACAGGGGCAGGAAAGUAGUGCAAAGAGAAGGCAUUUUUCCCUGACCUCAUUUGGAUAUCAAGGACAACUCCUAUAUCCUUAGGGAACAGAUAAGUAUGUGGGUUGAACAUGCUGCUUCACACAAUUUUUGUUCAUGAAAACACUUGACUUGUCAAAAGUAAACACCUGCAAAAAAAAAAAACCCUGUUUGGGCCUACUAUAAUUCCAUUGCUCAAUUGGCCUUAUUAAGUGCAUUUUAAGAAAUUCAUUUUGUCUCUCAUAACUGCACACUGCUUUGUUUUUGUAAUUUAUAUCUUAAGCUAUAGUCCCAGUGUAGUCACAAAACCUGCAGUAUUUAAAAACCCAACUAUUACUGUGCUAAGCUAGGGUAGAAGACAAGUUUCAAGGCUGCUUGAAUUAGCUGGUAGUUUCUUUAGACUUGGAGGUUUGAGGGUUUCUUUUUUCAGCAUGUUGGUAACUUGACACCUUUUUCUAUAUUCAGAAUGGGCUUGGAAAGUGAUGAGCCACAAACAAAUUGAAAGAUUUGUUUCCCAGCUUAAACUGCAUGAUCAGAUUUGUUUACUCUUGUGACUACAGUGUCUCCUAUUAUGGGUGUGUACACCAGAAUGCUAUUUGAAGUUUUUAUCCCAGGAUAACUAGGGAGACAAUAACUGCACAAUGCUUUGUUUUUGUUGUUGUGUAGC